AUUGAACGCUGGCGGCAGGCCUAACACAUGCAAGUCGAGCGGAUGAAGGGAGCUUGCUCCUGGAUUCAGCGGCGGACGGGUGAGUAAUGCCUAGGAAUCUGCCUGGUAGUGGGGGAUAACGUCCGGAAACGGGCGCUAAUACCGCAUACGUCCUGAGGGAGAAAGUGGGGGGUCUUCGGACCUCACGCUAUCAGAUGAGCCUAGGUCGGAUUAGCUAGUUGGUGGGGUAAAGGCCUACCAAGGCGACGAUCCGUAACUGGUCUGAGAGGAUGAUCAGUCACACUGGAACUGAGACACGGUCCAGACUCCUACGGGAGGCAGCAGUGGGGAAUAUUGGACAAUGGGCGAAAGCCUGAUCCAGCCAUGCCGCGUGUGUGAAGAAGGUCUUCGGAUUGUAAAGCACUUUAAGGUGGGAGGAAGGGCAGUAAGUUAAUACCUUGCUGUUUUGACGUUACCAACAGAAUAAGCACCGGCUAACUUCGUG
rnacentral:rRNA from 1 species